rnacentral:rRNA from 1 species
GGGUUGUGAGGUUAAGCGACUAAGCGUACACGGUGGAUGCCCUGGCAGUCAGAGGCGAUGAAGGGCGUGCUAAUCUGCGAUAAGCGCCGGUAAGGUGAUAUGAACCGUUAUAACCGGCGAUACCCGAAUGGGGAAACCCAGUGUGAUUCGUCACACUAUCAUUAACUGAAUCCAUAGGUUAAUGAGGCGAACCGGGGGAACUGAAACAUCUAAGUACCCCG